rnacentral:rRNA from 1 species
AUGACUCUCAGCAAUAGAUAUCUCAGCUCUUGGAUCGAUGAAGAAUGUAGCGAAAUGCGAUACUUGGUGUGAAUUGCAGAAUCCAAUGAACCAUCGAGUCUCUGAAGGCAAGUUGUGCCUAAAGAAAUUAGGCUGAGGGCAUGUCUGCCUAGGCAUCACACAUCGCAUUGCGCCGCUUGCAUUGCAUCUCAACCAUGGGGUGCACUAUUAUCGUUGGGCAGAUACUUUCCUCUCGUGCACCUCGAGCUUGUAUCUAGCCUAAAUGCGAGUCCACAUCGACGGACGUCGUGGCAAGUGAUGGUUGUAACUCAACUCUCUUUGUUGUCGCGGCUACAACCCGUCGUGCAUCCGGACUCCAGGACCCUAUCUCACUUAAGCGCUCCAACCAUGACCCCAGGUCAGGCUAGAUUACCCACUGAUUUUAAGCAUAUCAAUAAGCAGAGGAAAAGAAACUUACAAGGAUUCCCUUAGUAACGACGAGUAAAUUGGGAACAACCCAGCCUUAGAAUCAGGCAGUUCCAUCAUCCAAAUUAUUGUCUGGAGAAGCGUCCUUAGUGGCGGACCAAGCCCAAGUCCCCUAGAAUGGGGAGCUAGAGAGAGUGAGAUCCCCUUUGUGCUCGGACAUUGUCGUACCACAAGGCACUAUCCACAAGUCAAAUUGUUUAGCAAUGCAGCCCAAAUCGAGCGGUCAAUUCCAUCUAAGGAUAAAUAUGGGUGAGAGAUCGAUAGUGAACAAGUUCCGUGAGGCAAAACUAAAAAGGACUUUGAAAUGAGAGUCAAAGAGUGCUUGAAAUUAUUGGGAAAGAAGUGGAUGGGGGCCAGCAAUACGCCCCGAUCGGAUAUAGAACGGCGAUAAGCCAGUCCGCCGAUUGACUCGAGGCAUGGACCAACAUGGAUUGGGGGGAGGCCAAAGCCUGGGCUCUCAAUAUGCUCAUAGAACUUUAUCUCCUUGAUUGUGGUAGGCAGCACACUCCUCUAGCGUGCUUCGAGAUCUGCACGCUUUGGACACUGGCUUGUGGGCUUCCCAUUCUCCCUGUCUUAAAAUAUGGACCAAAGAGUCUGACAUGUGUGUGAGUUAACGAGCAAGUAAGCCCGUAAGGCGUAAGGAAGAUGAUUGGUGGGAUCCCCAUGAGGGGUGCAUUGCCGACCAAACUUGAUCUUCUGAGAAGGGUUCUAGUGUGUGCAUACCUGUCGGGACUCAAAAGAUGGCGAACUAUGCCUCAGCAGGGCAAAUCCAGAGGAAACUCUGGUGGAGGCCCACAUCAAUACUGAAGUACAAAUCAUUCGUCUUACUUGGGUAUAGGGGCAGAAGACUAAUCGAACCAUCUAGUAGCUGGUUCCCACCGAAGUUUCCCUCAGGAUAGUUGGAGCUUGCGUGCGAGUUCUAUCUGAUAAAGCCAAUGAUUAGUGGCCUCGGGCGCGAAACGCCCUCGACCUAUUCUCAAACUUUAAAUAGGUUGGACGGUGCAACUGCUUUGUUAAGUUGUAUAAUGGAAUAAAGAGCUCUAAGUGGGCCAUUUUUCAUUAUCAAAACUGGCGAUGUGGGAUGAACUAGAAAUCAAGUUAUGGUGCCAAACUGCAUGCUAACCUAGAUCCCAGAAAGGGUAUUGGUCAUUAAGACAACAGGAUGGUGGUCAUGAAAGUCAAAAUCCACUAAAGAGUGUGUAACAACUCACCUACCGAACCAACUAGCCCCAAAAAUUGAUGGCACUUAUGCGUGUGACCUACACCUAGCCGUCGGGGCAAGUUCCAUGCCCCAAUUAAUAGGAGGGCGCAAUGGUUGCUGCAAAAACUUAGGCACGAGCUCGGGCAAAAUGACCAUCAAUGCAGAUCUUGGCGGUAGUAGAAAAUAUUCAAAUAAGAACUUUGAAGGUCGAAGAGAGAAAAGGUUCCAUGUAAAUGACACUUGUACAUGGGUUAGUCGAUCUUAAGGGUCGAGGGAACCCCGAUAGAUAGCGUGUUUCGUGCGUACUCCAAAAGGGAAUCGAGUUAGAAUUCCUGAACCAGGAUGUGGCAAUUGACGUCAAUGUUAGAAAGUCCAGAGACGUAGGCAGGAGCCUCAGAAAAAGUUUUCUCUUUUUUUAACAGCCUUCCCAACCUGGAAUCGGCUCAGUCGGAGGUAGGGUCCAGCCGCUAGAAUAGCACCGCAUGUCACGUGGUAUCCAGUGUGCUCCCGGCGUCCCUUGAAAUUCUUAAGGACCAAAUGUCAUCCACGCCUGGUCGUACUCAUAACCGCAUCAGGUCUCAAAGGUGAACAACCUCUAGUCUAUAGAACAAUGUAGGCAAGGGAAGUCGACAAACUAGAUCUAUAAAUUCGGGAAAAGGAUUGGCUCUGAGGGCACGGGGGUCUCAGUCUCAAACCUAUUGGUUGCCGGUGGAAUGCUUGAGCUGAUCCCCCAGAGAAAGUGGGUUUUCACAGGCUGGCCGAGGGACCGACUAAGAAUGGUUCCUUCGGGGGCCUUCCCCACGCGUCGAAUAGAAAACUCAGAACUGGUACGGACAAGGGAAAUCCAACUGUUUAAUUAAAACAAAGCAUUAUGAUGGUCCCAAUGGAUGUUCAUGCAAUAUAAUUUCUGCCCAGUGCUCUGAAUGUCAUUGUGAAGAAAUUCAACCAAGCACGGGUAAAUGAUGGGAGUAACUAUGACUCUCUUAAAGUUGCCAAAUGCCUCAUCAUCUAAUUAGUGACGCACAUGAAUGGAUUAACAAUAUUCCCACCACAUGUCUACUAUCUAGCAAAACCACAACUAAGGGAAAGGGCUAGGCAGAAUCAGCGGGUAAAGAAGACCCUGUUAAGCUUGACUCUAGUCUAACUUUGUGAAAUAACUUAAGAGGUGUAGUAUAAGUGGUAGCCGAAAGGCGAAUGUGAAAUACCACUACUUUUAACAUUAUUUUACUUAUUCUGUGAAUCGGAAGUAGGGCAUUGCCCCUCUUUUUGGACCCAAGGCUCGCUCUGCGGGCCGAUUCGAGUGGAAGACCUCAACGAUAAUGGAAAUCUCAUAUAGAACAGAAGGGUAAAAGUUAGUUUGAUUUUAAUUUCCAGUACGAAUAUGAACCGUGAAAGCAUGUCCUAACGAUCCUUUAGACCUUCGAAAUUCAAAGUUAGAGGUGUCAGAAAAGUUACCACAGGGAUAACUGGCUUGUGGCAGUCAAGCGUUCAUAGCAACGUUGUUUUUUUAUGCUUAAUGUAGGCUCUUCCUAUCAUUGUGAAGAAGAAUUUACCAAGUUUUUGAUUGUUCACCAAUUAAUAGGGAACAUGAGUUGGGUUUAGACCAUCGUGAGAUAGGUUAGUUUUACCCUACUGAUGACAGUGUCACAACAGUAAUUUAUCCUAGUAUGAGAGAAACCAUUGAUUAACACAAUUGGUCACCACCCUUGGUUAAAAAGCCAGUGACACAAAGUUACCAUGUGCUGGAUUAUGACUGAACUCCUCUAAGUCAGAUUUUGGGCUAGAAUUGAUGCAUGCUCCCGUCGUCCACCUGUCGACCCGCAGUAGGGGCCUCGGCCAACAAGGGCAUGUGUCAUUAGCUAAGCCAUCACGGUGGAAGGUUCGCAUUGGCCGCUUUAAAGUACAAU